rnacentral:snRNA from 1 species
AUCGCCUCUCGGCCUUUUGGCUAAGAUCAAGUGCAGACCCCACUGGUUAUGACAUUUGUGAUUUAAUGGACACUGUCAUACUGACCACCCUGGUGGUUGUGCCAGCUUAUAGUUUCACCAAACUAGGUUUGAAACUAUUUCUUU